CACUCCUGCGGGAGGCAGCAGUGGGGAUUAUUGCACAAUGGGCGCAAGCCUGAUGCAGCCAUGCCGCGUGUAUGAAGAAGGCCUUCGGGUUGUAAAGUACUUUCAGCGGGGAGGAAGGCGAUAAGGUUAAUAACCUUGUCGAUUGACGUUACCCGCAGAAGAAGCACCGGCUAACUCCGUGCCAGCAGCCGCGGUAAUACGGAGGGUGCAAGCGUUAAUCGGAAUUACUGGGCGUAAAGCGCACGCAGGCGGUCUGUCAAGUCGGAUGUGAAAUCCCCGGGCUCAACCUGGGAACUGCAUUCGAAACUGGCAGGCUAGAGUCUUGUAGAGGGGGGUAGAAUUCCAGGUGUAGCGGUGAAAUGCGUAGAGAUCUGGAGGAAUACCGGUGGCGAAGGCGGCCCCCUGGACAAAGACUGACGCUCAGGUGCGAAAGCGUGGGGAGCAAACAGGAUUAGAAACCCUGGUAGUCCCAUGAU
rnacentral:rRNA from 1 species